rnacentral:rRNA from 1 species
CCUACGGGGUGCAGCAGUGGGGAAUAUUGGACAAUGGGCGAAAGCCUGAUCCAGCCAUGCCGCGUGUGUGAAGAAGGCCUUCGGGUUGUAAAGCACUUUCAGUGGGGAAGAAAGCCUUGGGGCUAAUACCCUCGAGGAAGGACAUCACCCACAGAAGAAGCACCGGCUAACUCCGUGCCAGCAGCCGCGGUAAUACGGAGGGUGCGAGCGUUAAUCGGAAUUACUGGGCGUAAAGCGCGCGUAGGCGGUCUGAUAAGCCGGUUGUGAAAGCCCCGGGCUCAACCUGGGAACGGCAUCCGGAACUGUCAGGCUAGAGUGCAGGAGAGGAAGGUAGAAUUCCCGGUGUAGCGGUGAAAUGCGUAGAGAUCGGGAGGAAUACCAGUGGCGAAGGCGGCCUUCUGGACUGACACUGACGCUGAGGUGCGAAAGCGUGGGUAGCAAACAGGAUUAGAUACCCGGGUAUUC